GUCCCCACCUUUCUGCCACAAUACCCUAACUACAGUUUAUGUGACUACAGUUAAUCCUUAGUGGAUUAAACUGGAUGUUUUCUGCAGUGUUUUUCCUGUUUCACACUUCAGGGAUGUUGAGAAUGUCAGCGCUGUUUCAUCUGGAUUGAAUCAGUAGUUUGUGUCGAAUGGCUCGUGCUGGAUCUCACAGCUGUGUUUAAUCUGUGAUUGCUCUUUCUUCCGGUGCAGAGGAGCGCGUGUGAUUUCGUUCCGCUUUUGGAGUUUGGACACUUCUCAUGCACAAUAGAAAUAAAUGGCAGCACUUGUGUGGCUCCCGUGCGACCGAUAACAAACUUCAGUCUCACCGGCAGAAAAAAAAAAAGAAAAAAAAAAACAUUUGCAAAAUAUGAGCGAAUAGUCUGGAUCCCUGCCACUUCAGAGAACCUGUCAGACUUGUUGAGCGUAGCUUUCUUAGCAAAACAAAAGGCAGGACACAGCUACUUUUAAAGCGUUUUCUAAACUAACUGAUCAUCAGCAAAAACGACUUGUCUUUAUGUUCUUAGUUUUGUUUAUACGGGUAACUUGAGUAAAAGAUAUUUAAAGUUAGGCUACAUUUGGUUUUAGGUUGCAUGAUGAAAUUAACCAAGACGAAAACAAACUCGCUCCUCACACUGAUUCUGCUGUUUCACACCAUGUCUGAGCAAGCAGGAGGUAAUGCAUCUACGCACUAAUAUCAGUUCUUUUCCAGUUUAAACCUCUAAAAAAUCCUUACUUGAUGUUUUCUUACUCCGUUUUUGUUGUUAUGCAUGACGGUUUCACACUCUCGUCCAGCUUCUCAUGAUGAUGAGGUGAGGAUCCUGAUGGUGGGAAUCCGAGGUCAGUCCAGAUUCAGUGCUGCAGAUCUUCUGUCAGGAAGGAAAGACGGUGGACAGGAGGACAGAGAGAUUGUAAAGACUCCAGUAAUUACAGACGAGGCUCGUAGAAUGAUGCUGAUCACUGGACCGAACCUCUGUGAGGAGGACACAGCGAGACAGACCUUCAUAACAGCGCUGUUUCUCUCGUCUCCUGGACCUCACGCCGUUCUAAUGCUCCUGAAUCUGGAAGAUCAACAAUCACAACAGUGUGAUAUUGUGAAACGAGCUCAGGAGCUGCUGGGAGCAGAAGUCCUGCAGUACUGCAUUGUUCUUCUGCUGCAAAAUCACCAGGAACCUUUCACAGGAGCCUCCAGAGAAAUGAUCGACGCAUGUGGAGGAAGAUUUCUCAUCAUAAGAGACUCUGAACCUAAACCUGCUCAAAGAGCAGCUCUCGUAGCAGAAAUACACAAGUUAGUUUGGCUCAACGAUCACAGAUUUUACUCAGUAGUGACUCAAGGGUUGGAUGCAGAAGAGUCCAGUCAAAGUGUGCAUGAAGAAAAUAAGAUGCUCCCUGAAAAACAUGACAAUUCAGCAGGAACUGCACGAUGGAUUUUACUAAUUUUACUGAACACUGCUUUUAUUUUCACUAAAGUAAGACAUGACCAUUUUCAUUUUGCGGAAAUACUCUUCGUGCUUGUUAUUUUUACCGUCACUUUAAGAGAGACUCUCAAUCCAGAUGUUUCUGUUCCUUUAAAUUUGAUUGUAUCCUCAACUUUCACAGUAGCCUCUGCAUAUAAAGACUUCGCAAAUUCACGACAUGGACACCAAAUCAUAAUGUUUUUAGUCAUGAUCUUUACAUUUCCCAGUAUAGUGUUCAUAGCCGGUCUAGGACUGACUGUAGGAACAGCGGUCAGUGUACGGACGUGGUCAGAUGUGAUCAUAGCGUGCCACGCUGCUCCCGGAGUCACAUUCGGGGCUCAUUUAUACACGGUUUACUCCAUUAUACCUGAUCAAAUGCAAGCUCGUACAACUCUCAUUUUUGCACUCAAGUUAUUCCUGUUCUGUUUCGUUGGAGUGACGAUCUCGAUGGGGUUUGUGACUGUAUUUGCUCUGUUUGGAGUGAAGAUGACAAUAUUUCUGCUAAUAUUAGGAUUUACAAAAAUGUAUUUCCAUUUAAGGAGUCUUUCUCUGAAAUUGUUUAUUUUUUUCCUGCUUUUUCCAUGCUGUUGUGUAUUUAUUGGUUCUUUAAUUUCAUUUUUAUACAGUUUAUUAUUUCAUUAUAUUUUAACAGUAAUUUGAAACCGAUAAUAGUGACUAAAUCACAAGAGACACUUACAGAUUUUGGAUCAUAAGUUAAUGCUGAUAUUGAUAUUGAUGUUUCUUCAACUAUGGGUAUUUUUGGCACUGUGUACUUUCAGGAAAUAAUCUCUCUUACAACCCAUCUUAUUUCUUUACUAACGAGCAUUUAACAUCAAUAAAGACAUCACAGGAAAAUCUUGAACA
ensembl:lncRNA